UUUGGCCUACGGGGCGCAGCAGUAGGGAAUUUUCGGCAAUGGGCGAAAGCCUGACCGAGCAAUGCCGCGUGAGUGAAGAAGGCCUUCGGGUUGUAAAGCUCUGUUGUAAAGGAAGAACGGGUGGCAUAGGGAAUGAUGCCAUUGUGACGGUACUUUACGAGGAAGUCACGGCUAACUACGUGCCAGCAGCCGCGGUAAUACGUAGGUGGCGAGCGUUAUCCGGAAUUAUUGGGCGUAAAGGGU
rnacentral:rRNA from 1 species